rnacentral:lncRNA from 1 species
CUUAAACUGUAAGAUUCUUAUGCCCUAGGGUUGAUCUUCAAUUCCUCAUGUGUGUAUCAACCUUACACAAUGCUCCACGCGCUCAUCAGAGUGGUGGUGAUAGAAUGCUCAGCAGACAAGACAAGGCCCAGAGUAGCACAGGGUCAGAAACAUAUUGUUGGGCUAUGGUUGUUAUGUCUACCUUCCUUUUUAUUCUGUUGUUCCCAGACAUAAAACCAUUUGUUCCAUGUAGUUUUAGUUUGUUUAAUAUUUGAGAAGAGUGGUGAUAUUUGAAAUAAACAUGAAAAAAAUUCAAUAUGCUACAGACAUCAUUCAGAUCUUCCUCCUCCAGGAAGACACCUUGCUUCUCUACUUUGUUCACCCCAUCUCACCUCAGUUCUCCAGACAGAGAUAUCUCACCUUCCCUGUCUUAGUGUUUUAAUCAUACAUCUCACACGAUUCUUAUCCUGAUCCUUUUUACCUUCUGAUAAAAUUAUUUAUGUGUUUUAUUCUCCCUGGUUCCUUGAAAUCUUCUGAUGGGAAAGGUGCAUACCUGAUUCAACUCCAGGGACAGCUUCUAUAUAUUUGAUGCAUUACACACCUACAUAAUUCUCCCUGUCAUGACAGUUGGAGCACUGCCUGGAACAUAACAAGUGCUCAAUAAAUAUUGAAUCCAACGAAUGAUUGCAUGAUGUCAGGCUAAAUUGAAGAAAAUACAUCUAUAAAUGUAUGAUGUACUUGUUAGUGCCCUUGGCGCAUUUGAAGACUGGAAUAAUGACUUGAGACUUCCAAAAUAAUCUAUUCUUUUCCAGUCAAGAGACAAAGUAGAACAGUUGAGGGCUCUUUUGAAGUUCCAGAUGCAAAGUAAAUAUGCAAAACUUCUGAAGAAUUCAAAAUGGAAAUGAUAUUUGAAAAAAAUCAAUGUCUUCACCAAGAGAUUAGUUUCAUUUGUAAAAUUUAAAUGUAUGGAUAAAUCUGGAGGCCUAAAUCUUUUAAGCACAUACUGGUGUUAGGUCUAGUAGGAGAAAUUAAAAUUGAAUACAAAUAUUUUUGGGCAAUAUUCCAAAGAUAGCCAAGAGUACACAACCAAAUGGAAUGUAGUGUCUUUUUCAUGGUUCCUUUCAGAGAGAAUGAAAGUUUCUCAAUCCAGUGUAUCCUCAGACCUAAUUUUCACUUCCUUGGUUUGACUAUUCAAGAAUCACUGGGAAGUUCCGCAAAAUGAAGUCAUUGUCUUCUUCUGUUUUUUGAAUUCUAUGAGACUAUUAUGCUGGGGAGAAAUAAUAAUUUCUAAUGGAGGCUUCCAUAUUUAAAUUCAAUUUCUUCUAUUCAUUAAAUUAGCCAUUAUGAACAACUGUCAUUUCUUCACUACUUCUCUCUUCACUCAUGUGUUCCCUUCUCCUCUGCUCACAUUUCUCUCUCUCUCUCCUCCUUAUGGUUCUAGGGCUCAACUCCAUGGCCUUGCUCUGCUACAUCCCCA